AUGACUACCUGCUUCUCCGACAUUAUAAAAGAUCAUUCCCUUGAUUUCAUAGGAUUGCAGGAAACUAGGAAGAAAGAGAUUCUUCCGAAGUUCUUAUGCAAAGUGGAUCCCUCGAAUAGAUUUGCUUGGAACUGGGUACCUUCUAUUGGCAAAUCUGGUGGCAUCCUUUGUGGCAUCAAAAAAGAAACUCUGGAAGUUGUCUCCUGGACAGUGGGUAAAUUUUGCUUGCAAGCUACCCUUUUUGAUAUUAAUCUCAAAUGUGUGUGGGCCCUUAUAACGGUAUAUGGAGCGGCACAGGAUGACAAGAAAGAGGAAUUUUUAUGCGAGCUUGCAUCCAUGUGUUCUCUCCUCCAAGUUCCUUACAUUGUGGGAGGGGAUUUUAAUAUCCUUAGAGAGAGUUGUGAGAAAAAUAAGAAUUUGAGUCGGUCCCCUUACAUGGAUAAGUUUAAUUCCAUCAUUCAAUCCCUGAACCUACAUGAGAUACAUAUGGGAGGGGGCAAGUACACCUGGUCCAAUCACCAGAGACACCCUACGUUAGAAAAGCUUGACAGAGUUCUUAUGAGUUUUGAGUGAGAGGACCUUUUUCCCUUGGUCACAGUCCAGAAACUAGUGCGGGACGUAUCUGACCACAAUCCUCUUCUGCUGUCAUCGAAUUUGAUAGCAGAAAAGACGUCGUGA
rnacentral:rRNA from 1 species